rnacentral:rRNA from 1 species
AAUGGCCGCAGUAUUUUGACUGUGCGAAGGUAGCAUAAUUAAUUGCCUUAUAAUUGAGGGCUUGUUUGAAUGGUUUGACGAGGUAAUUAUAAAUAUCUAUUCUUUUUUUGAAAUUAGUAUUGAGGGCACAGAAUCCUCAAAAUUUAGUUAGACGGAAAGACCCCGGAAUCUUGUUAUUUUGUCUGGGGCAGAUUUUAGUAUUUUACUGAUAUUUUGACCCUUUUAUAGUUUAUUGGGAUAAGUUACUCCGGGGAUAACAGUGUAAUAGUUAAUUAGAGGUCUUAUCGAAUUAACUGUUUGCUACCUCGAUGUUGAC